ensembl:ncRNA C16A3.15 ncRNA
UUAAAGAAAUUAACAAAAUUAAUGAAAGAACAAAGGUAAGAAAAGUGCCCUAUGAUUGGCUAAAAUGAAUUGCAAUGGAAAUGUAGCAAGCGAAGAAAAAUGUCCUAAAAGUUGUAUACGGUAACACUCGUUUUGCGUGU